GUCUUUUUGAUAANUAANUUUAAAGUCUAACCUGCCCAAUGNANNAUUANUUUAAUGGCUGCGGNNUAUUUUGACUGUACAAAGGUAGCAUAAUAAUUAGUUUUUUAAUUGAAAGCUGGUAUGAAUGGUUGAACGAGAAAAUUACUGUCUCAAUUUNAANNUUUUUAGAAUUUUAUUUUUAAGUUAAAAAGCUUAAAUUUUAUUAAAAGACGAGAAGACCCUAUAGAGUUUNUAUAAAAAAUUUANAUUNNAUUUUNUUUUAGNAAUUNANNNUUUUAAUUNNAAUUUUUUAUUUUGUUGGGGUGACAAAUAAAUUUAAUAAACUUUAUUNUUUANNAAUUACAUAAAUUUAUGAUUUUUUGAUCCAUUAAUUAAUGAUUAUUAGAUUAAAUUACCUUAGGGAUAACAGCGUAAUUUUUUUAGAGAGUUCUAAUCGAAAAAAAAGAUUGCGACCUCGAUGUUGGAUUAAAAUUAAUAUUUGGUGUAGAAGCUNGANAUUAUUAGGUCUGUUCGACCUUUAAAAUUUUACAUGAUCUGAGUUUAAACCGGUAUGAGCCAGGUUGGUUUCUAUCUUUAAUUA
rnacentral:rRNA from 1 species